CCUACGGGAGGCUGCAGUGAGGAAUAUUGGUCAAUGGCCGGAAGGCUGAACCAGCCAUGCCGCGUGAAGGUCAGUGCCCUAUGGGCGUUAAACUUCUUUUGUGCGGGAGCAAUAAUGGUCACGUGUGGCCAGACGAUAGUACCGUACGAAUAAGCAUCGGCUAACUCCGUGCCAGCAGCCGCGGUAAUACGGGGGAUGCAAGCGUUAUCCGGAUUUAUUGGGUGUAAAGGGGGUGUAGGCGGGAAAGCAAGUCAGAUGUGAAAACUCUGGGCUCAACCCUAAGCCUGCAUUUGAAACUGUUUGUCUUGAGUGCUGGAGAGGCAAGCGGAAUUCGGGGUGUAGCGGUGAAAUGCGUAGAUAUACGGAGGAACACCGAUUGCGAAGGCAGAUUGCUGGACAGUAACUGACGCUGAGGCGCGAAAGCGUGGGGAGCAAACAGGAUUAGAUACCCCGGUAGUC
rnacentral:rRNA from 1 species